rnacentral:pre_miRNA from 1 species
AAAUCUGUCUUUAAGUAGGGAUAAAUUACUCUAAAAGAAAUCAAUCCUAGAUAAUAUAGCUCUCUUCAAAUCAAGCU